GUUGGCCAUUCCAGUGGUCAUACUUCAACCACUCAUAGACUGCUGAGUGUUCAAACAAGGCAAACGCAGAGCUGUGACCAACCUCACUGUUUCUAUAAUGUCAGAAGCAGGAUCCAAAGUGGAGCUUCUAGUGACCCCCAGGAGUGCUGAGUAAACACGCAAGGUACCUGCAGGACCCACUUGUGUCCAUUGAUCUCUCAGAGCAGCUGGGCAUCGUGGGUAAAGACCUUCACAAUCGGGAACCCGUAGAUUGGAUCUUCUGAAAACAUCAGAGAAAGACUAUCUUUGCCAUCCACACUACAGUAAAACUUUGGAGCCUUGAACCUUGGAUUUAUAAUCUCACAACUGAGAAGGGUCCCUCCAUACUCCUGGAACUGUACACCCAUUGGAACUCUUAAGGAUGAUAUACAUGGCCAGGUGAAGACAGUAGAGAGAAAACAGAACUGAAAACAUUCUAUAACAAGUGAAGAGAUGAAGGAGAAAACUGGCUUGGGCCCAAUAUUCAGUAUGGUUGGAAACCACUUCAAGGAAGAGGUGCAAAUAUAUUCUAACUUAGAAGGAGGUAAGAAUCAGCAGAAAAGAAGGAAUCUUUGGAGAGCCAAAACCAUCUCUACACCAAAUUGAGAGACUGGAAUUAUAAGGUGAAUGCAAUUAACUGGCAGUCGCAUCCAUGUUGAGAACACAGUCAUCCCUUUAAUAGAGAACAUUUGCUGUGCUUGACAAACUCACAGUGAAAUGGUUGGAUCCAUAGGAAGCAACAUGCUGAAAAUGGUUUCAAUAUGAUCCUGUUUUUUCACUCAAUAGCCAUUGAUUGAGGGUGUCCAGCCAAAAACAAUGAGAAAAUGAGCCAACAAUAGUCUUACCCUUUGACCAUAUUAGAUAAAGUCGCAGCUGAAAUUUGUUAUAUGUUUCAGGAAUAACAAAGCAUCCAUAUGGAACAUAUAUUUGGCAGUGUGGCAGCUGAUGAAACCAGGAAAAUUAGACAAAUUAUCAAUUGCUCGCUCCCAAAUUACCCCAAAAAGAAAUUAGAUCCAUUUUCAGUAGCUUUGCCUUCAAAUUUCUUCAUUCCGUGAGUCACCACUACCUUCUGCCAAACUAAAUAUGUCUAUGAACGGCUGGAAACUUUAAUGGAAAGAAACAUAAAACUCAAACUACGUAGGAAAAUUUAAGCUUCUUCAUGGAAGAUCUUCGUGGAAGACUAGCAAGUUAGGAAUGUGUGAAGACAGACAACACAUCGAUAAUUCCUUUUGUUUGGGGUCACUUCUGAGUUAGAGAGCAAUGCAACAUGCUGGCUUGACUUCAAAUUAAAAUCAGCUUUUUCCU
ensembl:lncRNA LINC02456 long intergenic non-protein coding RNA 2456